rnacentral:rRNA from 1 species
UUCCGGUUGAUCCCGCCGGACCUGACUGCUAUCGGAUUGAUACUAAGCCAUGCGAGUCUUUGCAGUAAUGCAAGGCAUACGGCUCAGUAACACGUAGUCAACUUACCCUAUGGACGAGGAUAAUCUCGGGAAACUGAGCAUAAUACUCGAUAGAUCAUAAUGCCUGGAAUGGUUUAUGGUUGAAAUGAUUCGUCGCCAUAGGAUGGGACUGCGGCCUAUCAGCUUGUUGGUGAGGUAAUGGCCCACCAAGGCGAUUACAGGUACGGGCUCUGAGAGGAGAAGCCCGGAGAUGGGUACUGAGACAAGGACCCAGGCCCUAAGGGACGCAGCAGGCGAGAAAACUUUGCAAUGUGCGAAAGCACGACAAGGUUAAUCCGAGUGAUUUCUGCUAAAGAAAUCUUUUGCAAGUCAUAAAACCACUAGUGAAUAAGGGGUGGGCAAGUUCUGGUGUCAGCCGCCGCGGUAAAACCAGCACCUCAAGUGGUCAGGAGGAUUAUUGGGCCUAAAGCAUCCGUAGCCGGCUCUGUAAGUUUUCGGUUAAAUCCAUGUGCUCAACGCAUGGGCUGCCGAAAAUACUGCAUAGCUAGGGAGUGGGAGAGGUAGACGGUACUCGGUAGGAAGGGGUAAAAUCCUUUGAUCUAUCGAUGACCACCUGUGGCGAAGGCGGUCUACCAGAACACGUUCGACGGUGAGGGAUGAAAGCUGGGGGAGCAAACCGGAUUAGAUACCCGGGUAGUCCCAGCUGUAAACGAUGCAGACUCGAUGAUGCAUUGGCAUAUAGCCAGUGCAGUGUCGCAGGGAAGCCGUUAAGUCUGCCGCCUGGGAAGUACGUACGCAAGUAUGAAACUUAAAGGAAUUGGCGGGGGAGCACCACAAGGGGUGAAGCCUGCGGUUCAAUUGGAGUCAACGCCGGA